AUACGGAGGGUGCAAGCGUUAUCCGGAUUCAUUGGGUUUAAAGGGUUCGCAGGCGGCGUAUUAAGUCAGUGGUGAAAUCCCGAGGCUCAACCUCGGAACUGCCAUUGAUACUGGUAUGCUAGAGUAUAGUUGGCGUUGGCGGAAUGUAUCAUGUAGCGGUGAAAUGCUUAGAUAUGAUACAGAACACCGAUCGCGAAGGCAGCUAACGAAACUAUAACUGACGCUCAGGAACGAAAGCGUGGGGAGCGAACAGGAUUAGAAACCCCGGUAGUCC
rnacentral:rRNA from 1 species